rnacentral:rRNA from 1 species
CUACGGGGGGCACCAGUGAGGAAUAUUGCACAAUGGGGGGAACCCUGAUGCAGCAACGCCGCGUGGAGGAUGACGCAUUUCGGUGUGUAAACUCCUUUUAUAUGUCAAGAAAAUGACGGUAGCAUAUGAAUAAGCACCGGCUAACUCCGUGCCAGCAGCCGCGGUAAUACGGAGGGUGUAAGCGUUACUCGGAAUCACUGGGCGUAAAGGACGCGUAGGCGGGUUGGAAAGUCAGGUGUGAAAUCCUACAGCUUAACUGUAGAACUGCACUUGAAACUUCUAAUCUAGAGUAUGGGAGGGGGAGGUGGAAUUAGUGGUGUAGGGGUAAAAUCCGUAGAUAUCACUAGGAAUACCUAAAGCGAAGGCGAUCUCCUGGAACAUUACUGACGCUAAGGCGUGAAAGCGUGGGGAGCAAACAGGAUUAGAUACCCCCGUAGUC